GCAGCUAUGGAGGCGGUGCGGGCCCAGCGGCUGCAGCCCGGGGUGGGCACGGGGCCCCGCGGGGCUCGGCCCGGCCUCACCGGGGCCCCCGCGGGGCUCGGCCCGACACCGGCAGCGGGGUCGGGGCUGGGCCCGGGGCUGGGGCUGCCGCCGCCGCCGCCCCCGCUGGGCCUGCAGGGCCCCCGCGCCCCCGGGCCGGGAGCCGGGGCCGUGCCCGGGCCGCCCGCGGUGCUGCGGGAGGCGGUGGAGGCCGUGGUGCGGAGCUUCGCCAAGCACACGCAGGGCUACGGCCGCGUGAACGUGGUGGAGGCGCUGCAGGAGUUCUGGCAGAUGAAGCAAUCCCGCGGCGCCGAGCUGCGCAACGGAGCCCUGGUUCUCUACGAGAUGGUGCCGGCCGCCAGCCCCCCGUACGUGUGCUAUGUCACCCUGCCCGGGGGCAGCUGCUUCGGCAGCUUCCAGUUCUGUCCCACCAAGGCCGAGGCGCGCCGGAGCGCGGCCAAGAUCGCGCUGAUGAACUCCGUGUUCAACGAGCACCCCUCCCGCCGCAUCACCGACGACUUCAUCGAGAAGAGCGUCUCCGAGGCCCUGGCGUCCUUCAACGGCAACCGAGAAGAGGCUGAUAACCCCAACACUGGCAUCGGCGCCUUCCGCUUCAUGCUGGAGUCCAACAAGGGAAAAUCCAUGCUGGAAUUCCAGGAGCUGAUGACGGUUUUCCAGCUGCUGCACUGGAACGGGAGCCUGAAGGCCAUGAGGGAGCGGCAGUGCUCGCGCCAGGAGGUCCUGGCUCACUACUCCCACCGCGCUCUGGACGACGACAUCCGAAACCAGAUGGCCCUGGACUGGGUGAACCGGGAGCAGAACAUUCCAGGGGCCCUUUCCCGGGAGCUGGCGGCCACCGAGCGCGAGCUGGACGAGGCGCGGCUGGCCGGCAAGGAGCUCAGGUUCCACAAGGAGAAGAAGGACAUCCUGCUGCUGGCGGCCGGCCAGCUGGGCUCAGCACACUCCUCUGGCUGCUGAGCCCCAAAAUCCCACCCCUGGUGAGCCCAAAACCCCAUCCCCAAAUCCCAGCCCGUUUGCACAUUUAGAAGAAAUUUAGGGAAAAAGCUCCUGAAUGGAUUUUAGCGAAUUUAUCCUGGUUUUUAGAGCUAUUUCUCAUUCUCAUUCCUCCCUUCAGAGCUCCUCAUUCCCUAGGGAAGGUUUUACACUCUUCUGGUUGCUGAACCCCAAAAUCCCACCCAAAACCUUUUCCCUGAUCCCAGCCCGUUUGCACAUUUAGAAGAAAUUUUGGGAAAAAGCUCCUGAAUGGAUUUUAGCAAGUUUUAUCCUGGUUUUUAGAGCUAUUUCUCAUUCUCAUUCCUCCCUUCAGAGCUCCUCAUUCCCUAGGGAAGGUUUUACACUCUUCUGGUUGCUGAACCCCAAAAUCCCACCCAAAACCUUUUCCCUGAUCCCAGCCCGUUUGCACUUUUAGAAGAAAUUUUGGGAAAAGCUCCUGAAUGGAUUUUAGCAAGUUUUAUCCUGGUUUUUAGAGCUAUUUCUCAUUCUCAUUCCUCCCUUCAGAGCUCCUUAUUCCCUAGGGAAGGUUUUAUUCUCCUCUGGCUCCUGAGCCCCAAAAUCCCACCCCUGGUGAGCCCAAAACCCCAUCCCCAAAUCCCAGCCCGUUUGCACAUUUAGAAGAAAUUUUGGGAAAAGCUCCUGAAUGGAUUUCAGCAAGUUUCAUCCUGGUUUUUAGAGCUAUUUCUCAUUCUCCUCAUUCCCUAGGGAACCUUUUACUCUCCUCUGGUUGCUGAACCCCAAAAUCCCACCCAAAACCUUUUCCCUGAUCCCAGCCCGUUUGCACAUUUAGAAGAAAUUUAGGGAAAAGCUCCUGAAUGGAUUUUAACAAGUUUCAUCCUGGUUGCUUCUCAUUCUCCUCAUUCUCUCAUUCCUCCCUUCAGAGCUCCUCAUUCCCUAGGGAACUUUUGAUUCCCUCACAAUCCCUACAGAUUCUGGUUUUCCCUGUCCCUUUAUUUUCGGGGUUCAGACCCCAGGUUUUGUCCUCCCCUCGCUCCACCGCUGCUGGAGCACUUGGGAUUCCAGGGAAUCCAGCGUUUCCUCUGGAAAAACCCCAUUGGAUCCCCUCCCUCCUGCAGCAGGAAGGGAUCAAUUAGAGCUCCUUGAUGAGCUCCUUAAUUAAAUGAGUGGAUGCCAACGCGUGCAAUAUCCAGAUUUCAUUUUAAUUAGUCAUCCUUUGUAUCCAUAAGGAAUUUCGCCCGUAUUUAGCCUUAAAACCCCUUUCACGGCAUGGAAUUGUUCAAACAGCUCCGAGAUCACCAAGAAAAUGUCGAUUUUUCCGUGGAAAUUUCCAUCUCUCUCCCCUUUUCCCCAGCAGAAUGGGAGUACAAACUGAAUUCCAAGCCAGAAUUCCCUUUUUUCACCCCAGCUUAGAGCUUUUCUUAUCCCCUUAAACCCUGCAGUUCCCACAAUUGCCACUCUCCUCCUUCCCCCUGCCUGACCACAGGAUAUUCCAGCAAUAAUCGUCGUUUUAGGAUAAAAUUGGAAUAAUUCCAUUACCUGUAGGCACCCCAUUUUUAUAUCCACAUCCUAGCGAGCUUAUUUUGGGGGGUUUAUAUAUAUUUUUUAUACUUUCUACAAACACUAUUAACGUUUGAUAUCGCUGGAAAUUGGAUUUUAAAAGGGAUGGGGGGGUGGGGGGUGUAAUUUUCCUGGAAUGUUGGAAAAAUUUGAUUUAGGAAUAACGUGGAGUUAAUCCUGCAAUUUAUUCCGCACUUAAGGGAAUCACAGAACCUCCUCCCUUUCUUUCUGCUCGAAAUAAACAAAUCUGGGAGGACUUUGGGAAUUCCAUUGCUGUGGAAUUUUAAAAAAAUAAAAGGGAAAAAAAGCCAGGAAAUUCCGUUGCUUGUGGGAUUGAGGCGCCCGUUUGGAGGCUCCGGAUCUCUGUAAAAUGAACAAAAUUCAAAUUUCCUCAGUAUGGAGAAAGUCGUGCUCCUUGUUGAGGCAGUGGAAUUACGGGAUAAACACUGCUGUGGAUUUUCUACAAUAAAC